AAGUUCAGGUUCUCUGCCGUCCUCUCAUUCCUCGACCCCUUUGUGGCUCCACGGCCCACCACCAGCAACAUGGGCCAAGUCGAGGAGAUGGCAGAGGACCUACCUGCUCCACCCCCAGAAGAGGAGACAUCGGAGACAUAAGACACAAAUGGUGAUGACACAGAGGAGAGGUCCACUCCAUCCGAAGCACCUGCUGCCUCAUCUGUCUCCGACUCUGCUCCUUCAUCCUCUGCUGCUGCCCAACCUCCCGUAGGAAGGAGGAGGAGGAGGACAGUGCGACCCCGGGAGGAGCCAUCUGAGGUGGAACGGGAGCUUCUGGAAGCUCUCCGAAACCGGCCACCACCUCCACCCCCGCGGGUCUACUCCUCCAUGGAACACUUCCUCCUGGGUUUAGCUCCUUCCCUGGAAAGACUGCCACUAGAUAAACAGGAAUUAAUAAAGCUGAAAUUAUUGCAAAUGAUUUUUGAAGAUAGCACAGUUGUGCUAAAUUUGGACCAUGUGGACCCUGAAUAAUGUGUCAUUUUUAUGCAUGUGGCAGUUUCUCCAGGGAUGAACCUAA